rnacentral:rRNA from 1 species
CCUACGGGAGGCAGCAGUGGGGGAUAUUGCACAAUGGGAGGAACCCUGAUGCAGCGACGCCGCGUGGGUGAAGAAGCGCCUCGGCGCGUAAAGCCCUGUCAGCAGGGAAGAAAAUGACGGUACCUGCAGAAGAAGCCCCGGCUAACUACGUGCCAGCAGCCGCGGUAAUACGUAGGGGGCAAGCGUUAUCCGGAAUUACUGGGUGUAAAGGGGGCGCAGACGGCGAUGCAAGCCAGGAGUGAAAGCCCGGGGCACAACCCUGGGACUGCUAUUGAAACUGCGUGGCUUGCGGGCAGGAGGGGCAGGCGGAAUGCCUGGUGUAGCGGUGAAAUGCGUAGAUAUCAGGAGGAACACCGGUGGCGAAGGCGGCCUGCUGGACUGCAACUGACGUUGAGGCCCGAAAGCGUGGGGAGCAAACAGGAUUAGAUACCCUGGUAGUC